rnacentral:misc_RNA from 1 species
UUUCCGUAGGUGAACCUGCGGAAGGAUCAUUACAGUGUACUCUGCCCUCACGGGUAGAAACGCCCACCCCUGUGUAUUAUAUCUUUGUUGCUUUGGCAGGCCGCCCUCGGGCACCGGCUCCGGCUGGAUCGCGCCUGCCAGAGGAAACCCAAACUCUGAAUGUUAGUGUCGUCUGAGUACUAUCUAAUAGUUAAAACUUUCAACAACGGAUCUCUUGGUUCUG